rnacentral:rRNA from 1 species
UACGGAGGGUGCAAACGUUGCUCGGAAUUAUUGGGCGUAAAGCGCGCGCAGGCGGCCUUUUAAGUCUGAUGUGAAAGCCCACGGCUCAACCGUGGAAGGUCAUUGGAAACUGAAAGGCUUGAGUACAGAAGAGGAAAGCGGAAUUCCACGUGUAGCGGUGAAAUGCGUAGAGAUGUGGAGGAACACCCGUGGCUAAGGCGGCUCUCUAGUACGGUACUGACGCUGAGGAGCGAAAGCGUGGGGAGCAAACAGG